GGGUGUAGUUCAAUGGUAGAACUUCAGCUUCCCAAGCUGACGAAGUGGGUUUGCUCAAGGACAGCCGGUGGCUGUCCUUGGACGGCGCGCGGCGCCGGGCCGAGUACAAGCGAGGCCGAGGAAUCGGUCCGGCCGAUUCCGAGCAUUCCCA
rnacentral:tRNA from 1 species